GACAGAGGGGGCGAGCGGUGUCCGGAGUCACUGGGCGUAAAGCGCGCGCAGGCGGCAACCUUAGUGUCGUGUGAAAGCCCCCGGCUCAACCGGGGGAGGCUAUGGCAAACUGGGUCGCUCGAGCUGCGGAGAGGCUCCUCGAAUUGCUGGUGUAGCGGUGAAAUGCGUAGAGAUCGGCAGGAAGACCAAGGGGGAAGCCAGGGGGCUGGCCGCAGGCUGACGCUGAGGCGCGACUGCGUGGGGAGCAAACCGG
rnacentral:rRNA from 1 species